AAUUCGUGAGUGCAAGGGCAUUUUCAUCUUUUCACAUUUUGCGUACGGGAUUUUAGUUAAGUCCAUUUGCAUUUCACACAUCUUAUUUUAUGAGUUUUAUAUGGUAUUUGUAUGAUGAUGUGUUACAUGUGUGUGUGGUGUGGAAAUUAAAGCAAAAAAAAAAAAAAAAAAAAAAAAAAAAAAAAAAAAAAGAUAAAUGGGUGGGCCCCACCACUAUUGUUUAAGUGGCCUAGAGACCACAUUUUCAUUCCAAUUUUCUCUCUCCCCGCUAGUUUUCUUUCUCCCCUUCAUUUCCUCUUCAUUUUUCUUUUCUUUUUGGAAGCAAGCUUUGAUCUUUGAUUUCUCUCUCAUUUUUUCGAAUUUUGGAGUGACGUUUGGGGCAAAAUGGAGACCACGACGAGCUCUACACAUGAGUAGCAACAAUUUCAGCUUUAAGCCUCCCUUUGGAUUUCGAAUUUAGAGACCCAUUUUGAGGGUUUUGCUCAUUAUUGAGGUCACGGCAAAGAAUUGGCAAAUGCAAAUCCAUCACAGGCUUGAGAGAACUUGAAGGGCAUUUUGAACGUAUUUUGUUGAAUUUGAACUUGUUCUGUAAAGCAUAUGAUGUAAAAUGUAUCAAAUUCAUUGGUUAUGUAACGGAUGAUAUAAUUGAAGCUUGAAAAUCCAUUUUGAUGUAAGUUGUCUA